rnacentral:tRNA from 1 species
GGGUUUAUAGUUAAAAAUAAUAUUUGAUUUGCAUUCAAAAGGUAUUGAAAUAUCAAUUAUACUCG